CGUUCCAUGGCCAAACUGGUCAAGGCAUCGCCGAAUAUAGGCGAAGAUGUGGGUUCGAGUCUUGCUGAAACUG
rnacentral:tRNA from 1 species